rnacentral:rRNA from 1 species
UACGUAGGGUGCGAGCGUUGUCCGGAAUUAUUGGGCGUAAAGGGCUCGUAGGCGGUUUGUCGCGUCGGGAGUGAAAUCCACUGGCUUAACUGGUGGCUUGCUUUCGAUACGGGGCAGACUGGAGGUAUGCAGGGGGAGAACGGAAUUCCUGGUGUAGCGGUGAAUGCGCAGAUAUCAGGAGGAACACCGGUGGCGAAGGCGGUUCUCUGGGCAUGUCCUGACGCUGAGGAGCGAAAGUGUGGGGAGCGAACAGG